rnacentral:lncRNA from 1 species
GAAAGACUGGAGUUUCUUCCCCUAAGAAGGAGCCCAGAAUCUAGUGGGAAAGAUGAUGAUGUAAACCACUCAUUAUGACACUGAGAAAAGAUGCCAAGGGUUCUGUGGAACUCAGGAUGUGCACCUGGAUUAACUCAGAAGGAAUUUCCCAGGGUAAAUGGGACAUCGCAGAUUGAUAUCAGCUGGUUCUCUUCAUUGCCUCCUCCAGAAUCUCCAGUUCCCUGAUGAGUUAGAGAUAAACAACUCAUGUGAUGUCAACUAAAAUUUGCUAUCGUUUUCUGGGCUCUGUUGAGUAACCAGCCUCACUUUUUGAUGAGAACCAAGAAACCUGAGCAUUGUAUAAAAAUAAAAUAUAAAUUCCACUGAAAUACAAGCAAGUUAUCCUUCAUUCACAGGCUAAAUUUGCUUUGGACAAGUGAAUGGGUUAAAGUCAAGACUGAAUGACCUGGAAUGCAUCUUUUUGAAGGAAAUGGAGCUGUGCAUGUAGAGGAGAAUGAAAAUAAGGGGAAGUUACAAGACAAAGAAAUCCAAGACUACUGACAGAUCAAGAGGUUUCACAUUUCAGAUCCUUUCAGCAUUCAGCAAAUGCAAUAAAUAUCAGAGGUGGCCUGUGUUGAAUGUAAGAACAGAUGUUGUUUCUGCAGGAAGCAGGAUGGAAACUUACACCCACUGGCUUGCUGCAACUUUGAGGAGACUUUCUUCUAUACCUUCCUCUAAAUGUGACUUGAAACCUUCCGCCGUGAUAUUUUAAUAAACUUUCUAUAUCUUGAUAUUUCCUUUAAGGGUAUCAUUCUUGCCCAAGUUACCACCUUGACAAGAGACUGUCUCCAUAGCCCAUCUGUUAGUUCAAUUAACAGGCUUCUGAGAUUUUUGCUUGGGGACUCAGCAUUUAUAUUUAUAUCUCAUCCUCUAGAGUAAUUCUUGCAAAUAAUCUUUGGGAAUGGUGCCUGCUUCCUGUCUAGAUUUGAAGAUCCUGCUUCUAAUGAAGAAUGUUUUUGCCAGAAAAAAAAAAAAGGACUUUAUAUAUCUCCAUGAUUCCAUUUCUUUCUGGAGUAUGGAUUUAUUUUUUGUGGCCAAAUCACCUUCUGUGAAAUGGAGUAUUUGUAUCCUACUCAUGAGGGCCAGCCUCAAGUUCUCUUGGGAAAACUGAAUUUCACAGCUGGCUGGAAUUGUCACCACAAGUUUUGACUGUUUCUGAAGACAGCAUUAUGGAUGGCUUGCACGCACUGCUUUCUUAAAUGUAAUCUAACAGAGGAGGGGUUCUGUCUCUGUGGUGGGCAAAAGAGAGUGUUUCAGAAAUACAGGUGGAAGGCACUCUUGGUGUCUGUGCUGAGCAGAAAAAUAAAUUCUGGUCUGGUAGACUAAAUCCAACUCAGCUUGA